GACGAACGCUGGCGGCGUGCCUAAUACAUGCAAGUAGAACGCACAGUUUAUACCGUAGCUUGCUACACCAUAGACUGUGAGUUGCGAACGGGUGAGUAACGCGUAGGUAACCUGCCUGGUAGCGGGGGAUAACUAUUGGAAACGAUAGCUAAUACCGCAUAAUAUUGAUUAUUGCAUGAUAAUUAAUUGAAAGGUGCAAUUGCACCACUACCAGAUGGACCUGCGUUGUAUUAGCUAGUAGGUGAGGUAACGGCUCACCUAGGCGACGAUACAUAGCCGACCUGAGAGGGUGAUCGGCCACACUGGGACUGAGACACGGCCCAGACUCCUACGGGAGGCAGCAGUAGGGAAUCUUCGGCAAAGGACGAAAGUCUGACCGAGCAACGCCGCGUGAGUGAAGAAGGUUUUCGGAUCGUAAAGCUCUGUUGUAAGAGAAGAACGGGUGUGAGAGUGGAAAGUUCACACUGUGACGGUAUCUUACCAGAAAGGGACGGCUAACUACGU
rnacentral:rRNA from 1 species